CAUGUAUGGGUUCAAAUAAAAUUUAAAAAAAUCAGUUUCAACAUCCUGUAUUAUCACAAGUUAGUACAUGUACACAGUGUAGUUUUUGUUUUCAAUCGUUUUUAGAUGAAAGUACCUUUUAGUGUAGUUAAUGACGUAAUAAUAUGUGAUUUGUUGAGAGAAAUUUUGACUUGUGCUCGGUCAACAGGUUAAUGAGUGAUUCAGAUGUGAUUCUUGUGUGAUUCAUAGGAGCAUGUUGUCAUAUUGAGACAACAAAACCUAGAAAUCUGAAUCUUAGAUGUUAUAUAUCUGUAAUUCUUACAGUGCUGUUGGUAGCUUUGUAAUGUAUCGGGGGUUGUUGAGUAAUGUAGGGAUGUUUUGUUUGUAUAUCUAUGAUGAGUCGUGAUGAUGUAGAUUUAUUAUUAAUAUUUUUCAUUUUAUUUAUAGGCAGGGAUGGUCUGUUGAUGUAUACAGUUUGAAAGUGAUUAUUAGUUCUUGAUGUAUAUCUGUUGUUUAAGUGUGAUGUUAUUUUACAUGUCCAUGUAUUAAUAAUGGUAAUUUGUGCAUGACAAGGUUGUUUUGAUUAUUAUUAAGAGUUUUUAAUCUUUAUCAUAUAUAAUUAUACUAAAUACAUGUAUUUUGCUGAAAGUUGUUGUCACGUUUCUGUGGUUUUUAUACAAUGGAUACCCCUUUUUACUUUUUUUACCGUGUAUUUGAAAUUAAGAUGUUAAUUUUAGACUGAUAUUUUGGUUGAACAACUUUUAAAUUAACGGUACUUUAGAUAAACUGCAGGUUUGAAAUUUUAAUUGCUUUACAAAUAAAAUACUUCAUUUUCAUGAAAGAGCAUAUUAAAUUAUCUCUUUGUAUCUUUUUAUUUUUGCAUCAUGAUUUGAAAUAUGAGGAAUGAUCAAUAAAAGAAAGAUUUAUUUAAGUAAUGAACUAAUGACAGUCUUUCAUUUUAAUAUUAGAUCCCAUUAUGUUAUGCCAGUGGUAUACACAAAUAAACCUGCUUUAUAUUUGU
rnacentral:misc_RNA from 1 species